CUUCCGUAGGUGAACCUGCGGAGGGAUCCUUACCGAGUUCCUGCAACUCCCCAACCCACUGUGAACGCAUACCUGUACGUUGCUUCGGCGGGCGCCCGCAGGGCCCGCCGGGGACCCGGAACGAACCUCUGUAUGUCACGCCGCGGCCGCGCCCCCGUGGUCGGCCGCGCACGUCUGAGUCUGCCGCGGUGCGAGGGCACCCGGAAAAUGAAUCAAAACUUUCAACAACGGAUCUCUUGGUUCUGGCAUCGAUGAAGAACGCAGCGAAAUGCGAUAAGUAAUGUGAAUUGCAGAAUUCAGUGAAUCAUCGAAUCUUUGAACGCACAUUGCGCCCGCCAGCACUCUGGCGGGCAUGCCUGUUCGAGCGUCAUUACACCCCUCGGGCGCCCCCGGGCGCCCGGUGCUGGGGACCGGCCGUGCCCGCCACGGCCGCCCCCCAAAUGGAUCGGCGGCAGCGCCUCGCGCGACCCCCUGCGUAGUAGAAGCAACCACGUUGACAACACGACCGCACCGGGAGCCAGGCGCGGCCACGGCCGCAAAACGCCCAACUCUUCUGAAGUUGACCUCGAAUCAGGUAGGGAUACCCG
rnacentral:rRNA from 1 species